AACUACGGCCAUGCCACCCUGAAUGUGUCUGAUCUUAUCUGAUCUUGGAAGCUGAGCAGGAUUGGGCCUGGUUAGUACUUGGAUAGGAGACCACCUAGGAAUACCAGGUGCUGUAGGUG
rnacentral:rRNA from 1 species